GUGCUCACUUCGGCAGCACAUAUACUAAAAUUGGAACGAUACAGAGAAGAUUAGCAUGGCCCCUAAAAAAAAAAAAGAAAUUAUCUGAGAAAUAUCCAACUCAAUU